rnacentral:tRNA from 1 species
GAGAAUACUCUAAAGGGUUCAGAGCAUCUGCCUUACAAGCAGAGGGUCACUGGUUCGAACCCAGUAUCUCCCA